CCACUGAAGGAGCAGGAGAUAGUUGCCUAUCUCCUCACAGGACUAGGGUCAGAUUAUGACGCCCUGGUCACAUCUAUCAUGAUGCGCGCUGAGCCAAUGUCCCUCAGCGAACUCUAUGCACAUCUGUUGAGCUAUGAAC